rnacentral:tRNA from 1 species
UUAGGGAGACCUACCCAACUUUGGUAUCGAAGGCAAAUAGCUUCUAGAUGCAAAGAUGGUCUACUCUAGGUCGGUCGCAGUGAUGUUAAGGCUUUCAAACUAUGAUGAGGUUCAACUCGGGCUAUUAGCUCAGGUGGUUAGAGCGCACCCCUGAUAAGGGUGAGGUCCCUGGUUCGAGUCCAGGAUGGCCCACCUGAAAGUAAUUAGUAAUUGGUAAUGCGUAAUUUGCAAUUAAUUGUGGAGUACGAAUUAGGGGUUACAAAUUAUUUAGGGGGGUUUAGCUCAGUUGGUAGAGCGCCUGCUUUGCAAGCAGGAUGUCAGCGGUUCGAGUCCGCUAACCUCCACAUGAGAGGAAAAACUCAGCACCUUAUAAAUUGAAGUAAGGAUGCUGGGAAAAAACCAGCCAGAACCUUGAAAACUGCAUAGUCACGCGAGAAAAAAUGUAGGCAGUAAGUAGAUUAGUAAGCUAAUCGAAGACUGAAACAGACAUCAAUGAAAAUUGUGU